CCAGCACUGGGCUCGGGUCCAGGAAGCCCAGCUUGGGCUCUGGCUCUGCUCGUGACCUUGGGCAAGUCAUAGCCUUGAGUUCAGGAAACUUGUCCAUCAAGGACAACCUCUCUGAGUCCUUUCUCAGCUCCUAGAGAAGGUCUGACCGAAGCCACAUGAUUCAGCCACACUGACCUGCCCUGUGUUGGCCUCUCUCUCAUGAAUGUCUCACUCUCGUUUCUCCAGUGCAGCUGCACAGCCCCUGAGAACUAUUUUCCUCCCCACCCCAGCCUGGCAUCACCGCGACCCGACUUGCCCCCCGGCCUGCAUCAGCAGUGGCAGCCGAGGGCAGCCCUCCCUUCUCCACCCUGGAAAGGAGCUCUGUGCGUCCCCAGCUGUAACACAGGGGCACCCAUCCCUACCCCCUUUCCGGGACCGGGAAAUGGAGUCCAGGCAGCAGGAGCUGGUUUAAGACGAGGCGUCGCUGAGGCCAGGUUAAGCUGCCUUCGGAGAAACACGGCUGACAAAAGCAGGAAGCAGAGCGUCGGCUCAGGUCCCAGCACCGGCGAGCAGCAGGUCUCAGCAGCUGACACGUGCUGGCUCACUCAACACACAGCUCACAGUAUCCC
rnacentral:lncRNA from 1 species